AAUGGGGGAAACCCUGACGCAGCAACGCCGCGUGGGUGAUGAAGGCCUUCGGGUCGUAAAGCCCUGUCGGGAGGGAAGAAAUGAUUGAGGACUAAUACCUCUUGAUCUUGACGGUACCUCCGAAGGAAGCACCGGCUAACUCCGUGCCAGCAGCCGCGGUAAUACGGAGGGUGCAAGCGUUGUUCGGAAUUAUUGGGCGUAAAGGAUGCGUAGGUGGUCCUUUAAGUGGGAUGUGAAAUCCCUGGGCUUAACCCUGGAAUAGCAUUCCAAACUGGAGGACUAGAGUGCAGGAGAGGAAAGUGGAAUUCCCAGUGUAGCGGUGAAAUGCGUAGAGAUUGGGAGGAACACCAGUGGCGAAGGCGGCUCUCUGGACCGAUACUGACGCUGAGACGCGAAAGCGUGGGUAGCUAA
rnacentral:rRNA from 1 species